CCCAGACUAACCGAACGCAUACUCUCGCACCCGGGUUGCCCGGUCGACCGGCGCUAUUUUGUACUGGGCUGCCAAAGUGUGUUCGCCGGCGACCAGUAGACAUGGCAAGCGCCAGCUCUAGGGCUCCAAUGUGCGGAAAUGUGCCCGUUCACACGGAUCCAAAGUAGAAGAAGUCAUCUGGGCAUCAUUGCGUCGUGUUUGGAUGCCAAAACAACCAGCGGAAAAGGAGCAGGUUGCUUAGCGCUGUUUGCGAAGAGCACAACACACGUAGGGAAUCGUGCCGGUGCGGUGUUUCCAGCCUGCGCCGAUUUCCAUCCGCAACGAAGAAUGCCAAGCUGCGCCACCGGUGGAUAGCUGCAGUGAAUAGGAAGAACUACCAACCCAGUGAAAAUGCACGAUGUGCAGGUGGUGAAGGGCAGGCGUCUGCUAACCAGGCAGUCAAACGACCUCGCCAGUUGGUUGCCAAGCGCGGCCAACCCAGUAGAGACCAUUACAAACAAGACCAAACUGAAAGUGCA